CCUGUUGCACCGUCUUAUUUUUCCCCUCAUAACCUUUCUCUCUCUUAAAAAAACCCUCUCGAGAGGAAAUCUUUUUUCUCUCUCCACUCUCUCUCUCUCUCUCUCUCAUCCCCUGGACAUCGUCGGCCGGUGAAUCCAAUCCUCGGCCUCGUCCUUUGUUUCCGAAAUCGUUUGUAGCCUCACCACCCGGCGCCGAUUAGCCUUCGCUGCCGCAUCUCCCUUCCUGAAAUCGCCACCAAAGCCCCAAAGCUCGAAAUUAAAUAUUAAUUUUCCGCCGCCGGUGUGUCACUUCUCGGCGAGCGCAGCCCCCUGAGAUUGCGCACGAUUGUUAGCCUGCGCACACCUCCUCAAUCAUAACCUUUAAAUCUCUCUCUCUCUCUUUAUCCCUUGCCCUCUCAAUCUCUCUAGAUAUAUAGAUUUCGAGCUUAUAGUUGAAGUGGUCAGUGAUUGCAUAUUGGUUUCUAUUAGCAACACUUACUUUCUAAAGUGGGGAUUUGAAGGAAAUUUGUAGAAGUUCUAUGAAAGAGAAUGGCUUUUUUCAGAAAUUAUGCAAAUGAAACGGUGUCACAGAGUGUCCUGGACGAAAAGGAACAAGGACCAAGUGCCACUGGAGGUCACGGCUCCAUAGGAAAUGAAGAUAUAGAUAGGACUUCAAGUGAAAAAGAAUCUGAAUUGAGAAUGGAUGGACAAUAUCAAAGUGAUGGUGAACAAAAUGAUACCAGUGGGUAUCAAAAUGCUGUGGGUGCUGGUGAUGGUGUUACUACGAGAAUAUCAAAUUUGCAAAUUUCUGGAAGGAGAACAGCUCAAGCAGGGAAAUGGGGUUCAACUUUUUGGAGAGACUGUCAACCCCUGUGCCCACGGGAUGGGUCUGAAUCUGGCCAAGAUUUGAAAAGUGGUUCUGAUGACAAGAAUGAGGAUCAAUCUGAAGAUAAUUCAUCUGAUGGUGAGGAAGAUCGACUAGACUCAGAGGAUGGUGUUGGCCAUAAAGAAGUGAGUAAAGUUCAAAGGGGCCAGACUGAUGUCCCUGCAGAUGAAAUGUUGUCUGAUGAUUACUAUGAGCAGGAUGGUGAAGAUCAGAGUGACUCUUUGCAUUACAGAGGAUUAAAUAAUACCAGUGGUUUGAAUUCAAGGCCACAAUCGAAGCCUGUUUCUGUGAACAACAAUGUUUAUAGGAAGUCAAAAAAAACUUCACAUGACAAUGACAAUGACGAAAAUGAUGAUGCAGAUUAUGAAGAUGAUGAUGAUGAUGAGGAUGAUGAAGAUGACCCUGAUGAUGUGGACUUUGAGCCUGAUUAUGGAGUCACGAGUGGCCGUGCUGGAAACAAGGAUAAAGACUGGGAUGGUGAAGAGUCUGAUGAAGAGGAUAACAGCGAUGAUGAUCUAGAAAUAUCGGAUGAAGAUGAUAUGUAUUAUACAAAGAAAUCAAAUGGUAGACGGCGAGGUAAUAGUGGACGUAGUGUGAAGUCAGGCAGAGAACAUAAACCAUUCCCUGCAUUGGCUCGACGAAAAAGGGGGAGAGUAUCUUUUGAUGAGGAAGACUUUUCAGCAAAGGACUCUGAGAGUGAUAGUGAUGAUGAUUUUAAAAGCUUGACAAGAAGGGGUGCGCAUCUGAGAAAAAGCAACGGUGUUCGAUCCACUGCAUUGGCAAGUACAUCUGGACGGAACAAUGAAGUCCGUACUUCAAGUAGGUCUGUGAGGAAGGUGUCUUAUGUUGAAAGUGAAGAAAGUGAAGACUAUGAUGAAGGCAAGAAGAAAAAGUGCCAAAAGGAGGAGAUUGAAGAGGAAGAUGGUGAUUCAAUUGAAAAGGUUCUGUGGCAUCAGGCAAAGGGCAGAGCUGAAGAUGCUUUGAGAAACAAUAAAUCAAUAGAGCCUGUUCUUUUAAGCCAUUUGUUUGACUCUGAACCUGACUGGAAUGAGAUGGAAUUCUUCAUUAAAUGGAAAGGCCAGUCACAUCUCCAUUGUCAAUGGAAAUCAUUUUCCGAUUUACAAAAUCUUAGUGGUUUUAAGAAGGUUUUAAAUUACACAAAAAAAGUGAUGGAGGAUGUGAAGUACAGGAAGACAGUCUCACGAGAGGAGAUUGAGGUCAUUGAUGUGAGCAAGGAGAUGGAUUUGGACCUCAUCAAGCAAAAUUGUCAGGUGGAGAGAAUAAUUGCGGAUAGAAUUAGUAAAGACGGUUCAGGUGAUGUGGCACCGGAGUAUUUAGUUAAGUGGCAAGGGCUAUCUUAUGCUGAAGCAACCUGGGAGAAGGAUGUAGACAUUGCAUUUGCUCAAGAUGCUAUCGAUGAGUACAAGGCACGCGAGGCUGCUGCAAAUGUGCAGGGGAAAAUGGUGGAUCUGCAGCGUAAGAAGAGCAAAGCGAGCUUGCGUAAACUUGAUGAACAGCCUGAAUGGUUGAAGGGGGGACAACUUCGUGAUUAUCAGCUUGAUGGCCUAAAUUUUCUUGUUAAUAGUUGGAGAAAUGAUACUAAUGUCAUUUUAGCUGAUGAAAUGGGUCUUGGAAAAACUGUCCAAUCAGCUUCUAUGCUUGGCUUUUUACAGAAUGCUCAACAAAUUCAUGGUCCAUUUCUCAUUGUUGUUCCAUUAUCUACUUUGUCAAAUUGGGCAAAGGAAUUCAGGAAGUGGCUUCCUGAGAUGAAUGUUAUUGUAUAUGUUGGAACCCGUCCAAGCCGAGAGGUUUGUCAACAAUACGAAUUUUACACUGACAAGAAAACUGGCAGGACUAUAAAAUUUAAUAGUCUAUUGACUACAUAUGAAGUCGUUCUCAAGGAUAAGGUUGUGCUAUCCAAGAUCAAGUGGAGCUAUCUUUUGGUUGAUGAAGCUCAUAGAUUAAAGAAUAGUGAGGCACAGUUGUACACAACACUUUCGGAAUUUAGCACCAAGAAUAAGUUGCUUAUAACUGGUACUCCCUUACAAAACAGUGUCGAAGAGUUGUGGGCUCUCCUUCACUUUCUUGAUCCUGAUAAGUUCAAGAGUAAAGAUGAUUUUGUCCAAAAUUACAAGAAUCUAAGCUCAUUCAAUGAAAAUGAGCUUGCUAAUUUGCAUAUGGAAUUAAGGCCUCACAUUCUUCGAAGAGUUAUCAAGGAUGUUGAGAAGUCUUUGCCCCCCAAAAUUGAACGUAUUCUUCGGGUUGAAAUGUCGCCACUUCAGAAACAAUACUACAAGUGGAUUUUGGAACGUAACUUUCGUGACUUGAACAAAGGUGUUCGCGGCAAUCAAGUUUCUCUGUUGAAUAUUAUGGUAGAGUUGAAGAAAUGCUGCAAUCAUCCCUUCCUCUUUGAAAGUGCAGAUCAUGGUUAUGGUGGGGACUUUGAUAGUAGUAAGCUGGAGAGAAUAAUCUUAAGCAGUGGGAAGCUAGUUAUACUUGAUAAACUGCUUGUGCGAUUGCAUGAAACCAAUCAUCGUGUUCUGAUAUUCUCUCAGAUGGUUAGAAUGUUGGAUAUACUAGCAGAGUAUAUGUCACUUAGAGGAUUCCAGUAUCAGAGGCUUGAUGGUAGUACAAAAGCUGAGCUGCGGCAGCAGGCUAUGGAUCAUUUUAAUGCACCUAGCAGUGACGAUUUCUGCUUUCUUCUUUCGACUCGUGCUGGUGGCCUUGGCAUCAACCUAGCAACUGCGGACACUGUUAUAAUUUUUGAUUCAGAUUGGAAUCCCCAAAAUGACCUGCAGGCAAUGAGUAGAGCUCAUAGGAUUGGGCAAAGAGAAGUUGUUAACAUAUACCGAUUUGUUACGAGCAAAAGUGUUGAAGAAGAUAUCUUGGAGCGAGCUAAGAAAAAGAUGGUUCUUGACCACUUGGUGAUUCAAAAACUAAAUGCUGAGGGUAGACUGGAGAAGAAAGAAGCAAAAAAAGGGAGUUACUUUGACAAAAACGAGUUAUCAGCAAUCUUGAGGUUUGGAGCAGAGGAGCUUUUUAAAGAAGACAAAAGUGAAGAAGAAAGCAAGAAGAGGCUCUUAAGUAUGGAUAUUGAUGAAAUUCUUGAGAGAGCGGAGAAAGUUGAGGAAAAAGAAGUUGAAGAAGAAGAAGGGCAUGAAUUGUUGAGUGCUUUCAAGGUUGCCAAUUUCUGUAGUGCUGAAGAUGAUGGGAGUUUCUGGAGCCGUUUGAUAAAACCUGAUGCUAUAGAUCAAGCUGAAGAUGCCUUAGCUCCUCGUGCUGCAAGAAAGACCAAGAGUUAUGCAGAGGAUACCCAACCUGCUAGAAGUAGCAAAAGGAAAAAGAAGGAUUUCGAGGCUCCAGAAAGAGUCCAGAAGCGCCGGAAAGCAGAAUAUGCAGUGCAUUCUGUACCCAUGAUUGAAGGCGCUGUAGCUCAAGUAAGAGGAUGGUCUAAUGGUAACGUGUCAAAGAGGGACGCGCUACGUUUUGUCCGUGCAGUUAAAAAAUUUGGGAACCCAAGUCAAAUCAGGUCAAUAGUUGCGGAGGUUGGUGGUGCAGUAGAAGCUGCUCCAUAUGAAGCACAGAUUGAACUUUUCAAUGCUUUAGUGGAUGGAUGUAAGGAAGCAGUUAAAGGAGGAAGCCUAGACUCUAAGGGUCCUGUGCUGGAUUUUUUUGGUGUACCUGUGAAAGCUAAUGAUUUGAUCAGCCGUGUUCACGAACUUCAACUCCUGGAAAAGCGCAUUAAUCGCUAUGACGAUCCUAUUGCUCAAUUCAGGGUGUUGAUGUACCUUAAACCUUCAAACUGGUCCAAAGGUUGUGGGUGGAACCAAAUCGAUGAUGCAAGAUUGCUUCUGGGUAUACAUUAUUAUGGAUUUGGCAAUUGGGAAAAGAUGAGGUUGGAUGAGAGGCUUGGUUUGACGAAGAAGAUUGCUCCAGUGGAACUUCAGCACCAUGAAACGUUUCUCCCACGUGCUCCAAACUUGAAUGAACGUGCUUCUGCACUACUGCAAAUGGAAUGUGCUGCUGUUGGUGGGAAGACUUCAAAUACUAAGGUAGGUCGUAAAGGUAAUAAGAAGAAGGAAAGUCCUCUGAAUAACCCAAUAUCUCGCAUCAAGGAUCGAAAACGGAAACCAGCUUCCCCUACAGUUAAUAUUCAAAUGAACAGGGAGAGACCUCUGAAACCCCAGAAAGUUGAACCUUUAGUUAAAGAAGAGGGUGAAAUGUCAGAUACUGAAGAAGUAUAUGAGCAGUUUAAGGAAGUGAAAUGGAUGGAAUGGUGUGAAGAUGUUAUGGGUGGUGAGGAUAGAACUCUUAAACGCCUUCACAGGUUGCAAACUACCAGUGCUGAUCUUCCAAAGGAAAAGGUUCUAUCCAAAAUUCGGAAGUAUUUGCAGCUUCUUGGCCGAAAAAUAGACCAAAUUGUUGUGCAACAUGAGGAGGAACGCUACAAGCAAGAUAGGAUGACAAUGAGAUUGUGGAACUAUGUCUCAACGUUUUCAAAUUUGUCUGGUGAUCGGCUUCAUCAAAUUUAUUCCAAACUUAAACAGGAGCAGGAAGAUGAAGCAGGGGUUGGACCCUCCCACCUCAAUGGCUCUGAAGUGGGCCCCACUGGAAGAGACGGUGACUUCCCUCGCUAUGUUGAGAGGAGAGGUUACAAAAAUAUGAAUAUCUAUAAACAAUCAGAACCAGUUCACAAGGGCCAUGAUACUGGAAAAUUUGAGGCAUGGAAGCGACGAAGAAGAGCAGAAGUUGAUAUCCAUUCCCAAGUUCAACCUCCUCCUCAAGGACCCUCAAAUAACGGUAGCCGUUUACCUGAUCCGAACUCUUUGGGGAUUCUUGGGUCAGGACCAUCUGACAACAGGCGCUUUGGCAACGAGAGGCCCUUUAGGUUACGCCAGACAAGUUUUCCCAUGAGGCAGGGAUUCUCAUCAGGUGUCAAGUAGUCUUUUGCAUUAUGGGAUGGGAGCCAGCUGAUCGAGUGUGAAGCCAAGUAGCUUUCACCCAGUGGCAUUUACAGCUUCAACCAUCAAAGAUUUCUGGAAUUUUUUUCAACCAUGGGAAUAAAUGUUGUUCACCAUUACCUCUGGUAUUCUGUCUGAUCUGAAGCCAUACUCAUCAGAUGGAAGUUCUUCUACCCAUGGAAAAUGCUGGCUGAGUUUUUCUUCCUGCUAUAGGUAUAUUUGACUUCAUCAUGGUGUUAAUAACGAGUAUUGCCACCACUUUUGACUACGGGAUUGCUCAUGACACUUUCUUUAAAAGGCUGAAACAAGCUUUUGUUUGCUCGGGCAGAUUCUUUGAGCCCUAGCCUGUCGAAGAUACUCGUAUGCAUGUUUUACGAGCUGAAUGAGCUUGAGCUUUUCUGGAUUAGAAGCAACUGAAGAUCUCGGGGGAAAAAUACAAAUGGGUGAGCAAGAAAAUUGAUUGAAGGUAGCUAAAUAGCCCUUCCUGCCAACAGAAAUUUAAGUUAGAAUGGCUGUUUGCUUUGUGUUAUUUGUUCUUCAGUUCUCAUUUGGCUUCUUGAAGUAUUCUUUUUGUCGUUGAGACGGCAAUGUUUGUAUAAUUUUGGACUUCGAUUGACAGUCUGCUUUUACAUGAAAUGCCAUAAGCUUCUUGUUUUA